rnacentral:rRNA from 1 species
GACGAACGCUGGCGGCGUGCUUAACACAUGCAAGUCGAACGGUGAAGCGCCUUCCUUUUUGGUGGGUGUGGAUGAGUGGCGAACGGGUGAGUAACACGUGAGUAACCUGCCCCCUUCUUCUGGAUAACCGCAUGAAAGUGUGGCUAAUACGGGAUAUUCUGGGUCUGUCGCAUGAUGGGUCUGGGAAAGAUAUUGUUUCGGUGGGGGAUGGGCUCGCGGCCUAUCAGCUUGUUGGUGGGGUGAUGGCCUACCAAGGCGGUGACGGUAGCCGGCCUGAGAGGGUGGACGGUCACACUGGGACUGAGACACGGCCCAGACUCCUACGGGAGGCAGCAGUGGGGAAUAUUGCACAAUGGGCGCAAGCCUGAUGCAGCGACGCCGCGUGAGGGAUGGAGGCCUGCGGGUUGUGAACCUCUUUCGCCAGUGAAGCAGGCCUGCCUCGUUUGUGGGUGGGUUGACGGUAGCUGGAUAAGAAGCGCCGGCUAACUACGUG